rnacentral:lncRNA from 1 species
GCCUCAUCCCUAUGCCCUCACCUCCGUGGUCGCAUCCUCGAGCUGGUGUCUCAUCCCCGAGCCGCCCCUCACCCCUCAGUCCCUACACACCAAACUGCACCUCAGUUCCUGCAUGGCAGCUCGCCUUCUGUUGUAAGUAUUAGCAACGGCUAAUGUUGUCACUAAAAAUUAAUUUUUAUUUAAAUUAUAUUAAUUAAGUAUAAUUAGAUAUUAAAAAUUAAUUAAU